rnacentral:rRNA from 1 species
UACAGAGGGUGCAAGCGUUGUUCGGAAUUAUUGGGCGUAAAGCGCGUGUAGGCGGCUUUGCAAGUCGGGUGUGAAAGCCCUCAGCUUAACUGAGGAAGUGCGCCCGAAACUGCAGAGCUUGAGUACCGGAGAGGAUGGUGGAAUUCCCCAAGUAGAGGUGAAAUUCGUAGAUAUGGGGAGGAACACCGGUGGCGAAGGCGACCAUCUGGACGGAUACUGACGCUGAGACGCGAAAGCGUGGGUAGCAAACAGGA